UACGGAGGGUGCAAACGUUGCUCGGAAUCAUUGGGCGUAAAGCGCACGUAGGCGGUCCUUUAAGUCGGGUGUGAAAGCCCUCGGCUUAACCGAGGAAGUGCAUUCGAAACUGAGGGACUUGAAUACUGGAGAGGAUGGCGGAAUUCCCGGUGUAGAGGUGAAAUUCGUAGAUAUCGGGAGGAACACCAGCGGCGAAGGCGGCCAUCUGGACAGAUAUUGACGCUGAGGUGCGAAAGCGUGGGGAGCAAACAGG
rnacentral:rRNA from 1 species